AAAUUGAAGAGUUUGAUCAUGGCUCAGAUUGAACGCUGGCGGCAGGCCUAACACAUGCAAGUCGAACGGUAACAGGAAGCAGCUUGCUGCUUCGCUGACGAGUGGCGGACGGGUGAGUAAUGUCUGGGAAACUGCCUGAUGGAGGGGGAUAACUACUGGAAACGGUGGCUAAUACCGCAUAACGUCGCAAGACCAAAGAGGGGGACCUUCGGGCCUCUUGCCAUCAGAUGUGCCCAGAUGGGAUUAGCUUGUUGGUGAGGUAACGGCUCACCAAGGCGACGAUCCCUAGCUGGUCUGAGAGGAUGACCAGCCACACUGGAACUGAGACACGGUCCAGACUCCUACGGGAGGCAGCAGUGGGGAAUAUUGCACAAUGGGCGCAAGCCUGAUGCAGCCAUGCCGCGUGUAUGAAGAAGGCCUUCGGGUUGUAAAGUACUUUCAGCGGGGAGGAAGGUGUUGCGGUUAAUAACCGCAGCAAUUGACGUUACCCGCAGA
rnacentral:rRNA from 1 species